rnacentral:sRNA from 1 species
ACUUUCCAGGUUGCAGCCUAAGCAAUUAGGCUGAUGGCUGGUGACUUUUUGGUCACCAGCCU